rnacentral:rRNA from 1 species
CCCUUAGAUGUUCUGGGCCGCACGCGCGCUACACUGAUGCAUUCAACGAGUCUAAAACCUGCUCUGAUAGGGGUGGGUAAUCUUUUGAAUAUGCAUCGUGAUUGGGAUAGAUGAUUGCAAUUUUUCAUCUUCAACGAGGAAUGCCUAGUAAACGCAAGUCAUCAGCUUGCAUUGAUUACGUCCCUGCCCUUUGUACACACCGCCCGUCGCUCCUACCGAUUGAAUGAUCCGAUGAAUAUCAUGGAUUGAGGAUGCAAGUAGGUUCGCCUAUCUUCAUCUUCGAGAAGUGAAGUAAAUCUUAUCAUUUAGAGGAAGGAGAAGUCGUAACA